rnacentral:rRNA from 1 species
UGGCUCAGAGUGAACGCUGGCGGCAGGCCUAAUACAUGCAAGUCGAACGGCAGCACAGCAGAGCUUGCUCUGUGGGUGGCGAGUGGCGGACGGGUGAGGAAUACGUGGGAAUCUGCCCAGUCGUGGGGGAUAACGUAGGGAAACUUACGCUAAUACCGCAUGCGCCCUUCGGGGAAAGCCGGGGACCUUCGGGCCUGGCGCGAUUGGAUGAGCCCACGUCGGAUUAGCUAGUUGGCGGGUAAAGGCCCGCCAAGGCGACGAUCCGUAGCUGGUCUGAGAGGAUGAUCAGCCACACUGGAACUGAGACACGGUCCAGACUCCUACGGGAGGCAGCAGUAGGGAAUAUUGGACAAUGGGCGCAAGCCUGAUCCAGCCAUGCCGCGUGAGUGAAGAAGGCCCUCGGGUUGUAAAGCUCUUUUGUCCGGAAAGAAAAGCGCCGGGUUAAUACCCUGGUGUCCUGACGGUACCGGAAGAAUAAGCACCGGCUAACUUCGUG